AAGUUGAAAAGUUUGGAAAGAUAUGUGAAUUUUCGUGUCAAGUUUCGGGACGAAACUUCUUUUAAGAGGGGUAGAUUGUAAUCCCCCGUAAUUUUAUAUAUUUUGUUUAUAUAUUUUAACGUAUAUUAAUACAUUUAAAUAUAAUUUACGGAUUUCAGAAAUGAAUAUGUAAUUAAAAUAUAAUUAUUUUAUUUCAUUUUGAAUAAUUUUAAUGAUUUAUGAAAUCAAAAUGUAUUUUUGAAUUUUACGUUAAAACGAAUUCGAAUUUCGAAAUCACGUUCGAUUGAAAUUAGCAAGCAAUCCUAACCAUUUUGGAUUCAAUAACCUAAAUCCUACUCCUAGCCCAAUUGGGUAAAGCCCAAACCAAUAAAACCCAAAACAAAUACUCCCUCCCCUUUUCUAAUGCACGUGAACCCAAAGAAACAAAAAAAAAAGAAGAGAAAGCCUCCUCUUGCUCCUUCACUGUUCACGUAACAAGCACCAAACCCUCAACACCCUCCUCCUUGCUGCCGCUGCUCACGCCGCCGGACCCACCAGCACGUCACCGGCAUCCCGUCGCCGCUGCACCACCACCACGCUGAGCGCUCGUGGUUCUGCAAUAACCGCCGUCCUCGUCGUCCACCCUUGCACGCAACACCACCUCGCCGCACCGCCGUGUGCCGCCCAGCCUUCCUCGUCGCCGGCAGUUCUCUCCUUUCCCUUAUUCGG